rnacentral:lncRNA from 1 species
AGGAGCCACACACUAAUUCUUUCUUUCUAGACAGAAAUAUGAAGUCAUCCAUGUCUGUAAUACUUGUGGUUGAUGCAAAGGCUUGGGUAGCAAACCUGAAUUAGAAGGCUCAAGUAAAUAGUGACCUCUUUGUUUCAUCAAAGCUUGUCUCCAACACCAAUGCAGAAGAAUGAUAAAAACACCAUGAUCUCCAGAUGGGCAAGUACCAGCUUCCAUGAGGAGGAAGUCUUUGGUUGGUUGGAGUCUCGCCAAAAUUCCUGCCAAAGGCUCUUCAAGUUGGGCAUCUUCUCUCACUAGGUAAAAAGAAGGAUCCAGGUUUCAUACAUGGCAUUUUCUACCUGUAAUGUACCACAGGUUUCACUGGCUUAAUAAGAUAGUUAGUAUGCACUCUAGUCUUUAAAAUUUCAGAGAGCAGGAACCAUUAAAGCAUAUUACUUUUAUCAACCCAAAUCGUUGGGUUGCAAAUCAAAUGCAGG